rnacentral:rRNA from 1 species
AUUGAACGCUGGCGGCAGGCUUAACACAUGCAAGUCGAGCGGAGAUGAGGUGCUUGCACCUUAUCUUAGCGGCGGACGGGUGAGUAAUGCUUAGGAAUCUGCCUAUUAGUGGGGGACAACAUUCCGAAAGGAAUGCUAAUACCGCAUACGUCCUACGGGAGAAAGCAGGGGAUCUUCGGACCUUGCGCUAAUAGAUGAGCCUAAGUCGGAUUAGCUAGUUGGUGGGGUAAAGGCCUACCAAGGCGACGAUCUGUAGCGGGUCUGAGAGGAUGAUCCGCCACCAUGGGACUGAGACAAGGCCCAGACUCCUACGGGAGGCAGCAGGGGGGAAUAUUGGACAAUGGGGGGAACCCUGAUCCAGCCAUGCCGCGUGUGUGAAGAAGGCCUUAUGGUUGUAAAGCACUUUAAGCGAGGAGGAGGCUACUGAGACUAAUACUCUUGGAUAGUGGACGUUACUCGCAGAAUAAGCACCGGCUAACUCUGUGCCAGCCGCCGCCGUAAAAC